CGCGCCGCCCCCGCCCCUAGCACGCCUCCUGCCCCUCCCGGAUAGCCCAAGAGAACCUCGUGCCAGGCCCCGUGUUACCUGGGUAACCGGCCUGGGGACCACUCGUGCCCCCUCCCUGCCCUUUCUCGCCCCCUCCCUGUCCUUUCUCACGCGCACCUCCUGGUGGGGCACCCCCUUCUUCCUAAGUCCUCGGCCCCUCCCGCCAACGGUCACCGGGGGAUCCUGGCAGAGACCUAGAUUGGGUAUUCCCUGAAGACCUGGAAUCUGCUCUCCAUAACUUCUGGAUUCUUGGCCCUACCCUAAAUUUGUGUUGUACUGCAGCUAGAGGUUGUACCUCAGAAGAGAGAAGCUACCACUUUGCAGAGCAGGAAAGGUUGGGACCAAGAUCAAGGUCAACAAAGAACCCCUCCCUCUCCCUGGGAGGGGUGAGGCAUGAGCACACACAACAGGGGGCUUGGUGAAGAUAACUUAGGAACUCAGAGACAAGUUUUUAUUUAAAAUUUAUUGUAAUGGGGUCUGCGCAAAAGGAGGGAGGGGAGGGUGGGGAACAUGCAAGGGACACAGGAACACGAUGACAUGGCCAGGGCCAUAGCUUCUGUUAUGGGAAAGAGGAAGAAA